AACGAACGCUGGCGGCAUGCCUAACACAUGCAAGUCGAACGAGACCUUCGGGUCUAGUGGCGCUCGGGUGCGUAACGCGUGGGAACCUGCCCUUAGGUUCGGAAUAACUCCCCGAAAGGGGUGCUAAUACCGGAUAAUGUCUUCGGACCAAAGAUUUAUCGCCUUUGGAUGGGCCCGCGUUGGAUUAGCUAGUUGGUAGGGUAAAAGCCUACCAAGGCGACGAUCCAUAGCUGGUCUGAGAGGAUGAUCAGCCACACUGGGACUGAGACACGGCCCAGACUCCUACGGGAGGCAGCAGUGGGGAAUAUGGGACAAUGGGCGAAAGCCUGAUCCAGCAAGGCCGCGUGAGUGAUGAAGGCCUUAGGGUGGUAAAGCUCUUUUACCCGGGAUGAUAAUGACAGGACCGGGAGAAUAAGCUCCGGCUAACUCCGU
rnacentral:rRNA from 1 species